UACGGAGGGGGCUAGCGUUGUUCGGAAUUACUGGGCGUAGAGCGCACGUAGGCGGACCAGCAAGUUGGGGGUGAAAUCCCGGGGCUCAACCCCGGAACUGCCUUCAAAACUGCGGGUCUGGAGGUCGAGAGAGGUGAGUGGAAUUCCGAGUGUAGAGGUGAAAUUCGUAGAUAUUCGGAGGAACACCAGUGGCGAAGGCGGCUCACUGGCUCGAUACUGACGCUGAGGUGCGAAAGCGUGGGGAGCAAACAGG
rnacentral:rRNA from 1 species